ACCGUUUUGGUCCUAAACUUACUAUUAUCUAUCACCUAAAUUAUACAUGCAAGCCUCCACGCCCCAGUGCCGAUUAGCCCACAUUUUGGAGCAGGUAUCAGGUACACACACGUAGCCUAAAACACCUAGCCUUGCCACACCCCCACGGGAUCUCAGCAGUAAUUAACAUUAAGCAAUAAGCACCCACCUUUCAGCUUGACUUAGCUACGGUCCACUAAGUCGGUAAAUUUCGUGCCAGCCACCGCGGUUAUACGAAAGACUUAAAAUAAUAGCCCCGGCACAAAACGUGACUAGAGCAUAUGAUCCUCAUAUGAGACUAAAACCAAAACAAGUUAUAAAACACACAGAUAUGCCAGAAUCACCUUCAAGUCUCAUUCAAAAAUCUUCUUGACUCACGAAAACCAAGAAACAAACUAGGAUUAGAUACCCUACUAUGCUUGGUCAUAAACCUCGACAUUAAUACAUGUCCGCCAGAGCACUACUAGUGAAAAACUUAAAACUCAAAGGACUUGACGGUGUCCCACAUCAACCUAGAGGAGCCUGUCCUAUAAUCGAUACCCCACGAAACACCUCACCUUUUCUAGCCCCCCAGUCUAUAUACCGCCGUCGUCAGUCUACCUUAUAAAAGUAAUUAAGUAGACAAAAUAGUACAUCACAAAAACGUCAGGUCAAGGUGUAACAUAAGAAAAGGAAAGAGAUGGGCUACAUUUUCUAAUAAGAACAAACCAACAGCACCCUGAAAUAAACGCCCUAAGGCGGAUUUAGCAGUAAGCCGGGUAAGACAGCCCAGCUGAAACACGCUCUGGGACGCGUACACACCGCCCGUCACCCUCAUCCACCCUCAAGACCCCCCCCCCUCUAUAAACACAAUCAACUACACCAGAUGAGGCAAGUCGUAACAUGGUAAGUGUACUGGAAAGUGCACUUGGAUUA
rnacentral:ncRNA from 1 species